rfam:Brachypodium distachyon strain Bd21 chromosome 1, whole genome shotgun sequence.
AUAUUACUCCCUCCAUCCCAUAUUAAGUGACUCAAAUUUGUCUAAAAAUGGACGUAUCUAUAUACUAAAAACCGUCCAGAUACAUGUAAUAGAAAGUCACUUAAUAUGGGAUGGAGGGAGUAUAUA